AAGUCGUAACAAGGUUUCCGUAGGUGAACCUGCGGAAGGAUCAUUCGCACUUAUGCAGUAACUUUGAUAAUAUGGACAACAUAUUUGAAAAAGUUUGCUGUUUACAAUACAAACCCAAAACAAACGCGGACUGUACAACAAAACAAACCAAAUGCCUUAUGCUGUAUUAAUAGAUGAACGACUUUAGUCUAUUAUGACCAGUGUUUGGCGAGUUAUCAUGUCGGGUGGUGAUCCUUAAUAAGUAAUUAUUGGGGAGAGCUACUUGUUAGUGUGUUGAUUGUUCCUAGUGAUGGUGGAUUCCAUGCUAGGCGGAAAUGUGUAUACGUAACAUAAUACAACUCUUUGCAAUGGAUAUCUUGGUUCUC
rnacentral:misc_RNA from 1 species